GUUCAUCACAUUUUAUUAUUCAGCUCCUGUUUAGAAUGGAGAUGCACAUAUCCAUUGCUUGAGGAAGCUGGUUUAAAAACUUCGGCUAUUGACCUUCUUGCCUGGGGCUUCUCUGAUUUAGGACGUCGGCCGCUCCGCGUCAUCACGGGUACGUGGCGACAACUUGGCGACUCUGCUGGGGACCUAAGGUAAGGGCACAGCGAGGGGCAGACCGACGAGGGGCAGGAAGGAUGCGUGAAGGCCAUAUGGACGCGUCUGGUUUUCUUAUUGCUUCCGCUAUGUAUUUUGUCAGAAUAUUUGGUUUGUGAUUUUGAACUGAUGACUUGAGUUUUUUUUUUUUUUGAAACUUUUGUGACUGUGAUUUAAAAUAGGGCCCGAAACUGUUUUUUUGUAAUAUUUGUAACGUUUUAAGAAAUCGUAACCGGUCCGUUAUAAAUUCUAUGUUGUGUGGUCGAGUUUUGGUAUUUAGUAGUAACCUCAGCUUAGUCCGGAAAGUUGGGUCGUUACAUCUUCUUCUUCCUUCUCUUCAUGAGCUUGUAAAGAUCCUAUAAGUUGAUCAAUA